rnacentral:rRNA from 1 species
UAUGAAUGGGGCAAGCGUUGUUCGGAAUCACUGGGCUUAAGGCGUGCGUAGGCGGAUCUGCAAGUCAGAAGUGAAAUCCCUGGGCUUAACCCGGGAACUGCUUUUGAAACUGCAAAUCUAGAGACCUGGAGAGGUGAGGGGAAUUCCGAGUGUAGAGGUGAAAUUCGCAGAUAUUCGGAGGAACACCAGUGGCGUAGGCGCCUCACUGGACAGGUACUGACGCUGAGGUACGAAAGCGUGGGGAGCAAACAGG